UCUAUUUUUAAAGGAAAGCGUAGAAGAAAGCCACAUGGUCUGUUAUUCUCUAGACUGAAAUUAGAUUAGUUUGACGUGAUUCCUUCUUGACAAAUCUUUAUCGGCUCUUGCUCAUCUUAUUACUAUUUUCCAGAUUAUUCACUAUUCCAGGAAUUCAGCUAUAGAUCUCCUUUAYGCUUCUGAAACAAUGAAAAUAGCCUUAACAGAGCCUAUAAACUAGCUCAGAAAGACAAUUUCAGCUGGUUCUGCUUAUCAUGGAUAUGCAUGCAUGGGAAAGUCAUAAGUCUUUUGAGUUGGAACACAAAAUCAAGUGUUUAAAUAAGUUAGUUAAGAGUAAAAGGUUCACUGAAGACUGCCUUUAACAUCC